AUGGGGAGGCAGCCGUGCUGCGACAAGGUGGGGCUGAAGAAGGGGCCGUGGACGGCGGAGGAGGACCAGAAGCUCGUCGGCUUCCUCCUCACCCACGGCCACUACUGCUGGCGCGUCGUCCCCAAGCUCGCAGGGCUGCUGAGGUGCGGGAAGAGCUGCAGGCUGAGGUGGACCAACUACCUGAGGCCCGACCUCAAGCGGGGGCUACUCUCCGACGAGGAGCAGCAGCUCGUCAUCGACCUGCACGCGCAGCUCGGUAACAGGUGGUCCAAGAUCGCGGCGCAGCUGCCCGGAAGGACGGACAACGAGAUCAAGAACCACUGGAACACCCACAUCAAGAAGAAGCUCCGCAAGAUGGGCAUCGACCCCGUCACCCACCGCCCGCUGGGCCAAGAGGCCCCUCCUCCCCUGCAACAUCCGCCGCCGCCGCCGACCGCCACCUCGUGGCAGCAGCUGGACGGCGCGGAGCGCUCACAGCAAGCGGAGGAGGAGGACGUGAAGGCGGUCCCGCUGAUCCAGCCGCACGAGGUCACGGCGGUGCCGCCCACCGCGAGCAGCAACUGCUCUGUUUCCCCUGCCUCGGUCAUCUCACCGUCCUGCUCCUCCUCGUCCGCGGCGUCCGGCCUGGAGGCGGCGGAGUGGCCGGAGCCCAUGUACCUCCUCGGCAUGGACGGCAUCAUGGACGUCGGCUCCGGCUGGGACGCCGGCUUCGUCGUCCCCGGUGGCCUGGGCGUCGACCCGUUCGACCACUACUACCCGGACCCCGCCGGCUUCGACCAAGGAGCCUGGCCGUGA
rnacentral:rRNA from 1 species